UUUUUUUUUUUUUUUUUUUUGAAGCUGAGGACCGAACCCAGGGCCUCGCGCUUGCCUACAAGCGCUCUACCACUGAGCUAAAUCCCCAACCCCCCCCCUUCCCAUUUUUGAUAGCCCAGGCUAAUCUGGAACAUCCUGUUUCCCAAGCUGACCUCCAACUAGUAAAUCUCUUGGCUGAAGCUGCUGAGUCUUUGAGUUACAGACCUAUCAUGUUGCUCUGGGACCGCAUCAUUCUGGUCUAUGCCAUUUCAGCCAUCCUGGGACCUCACCUUGACCCUGCUCCUGGUGUGAUGCAUAUCUGGGUAGGAUCUGUGACUGAUGGGCAUAUCCUAACAAGUCUUCCUCCAGUGCCCUCCUGAAGCUGUGAAGAGUGAACCUAGAUUCUGCUCUGACAUCCACACCCUUAGAACUCAGCAGGCGUCUAAGAAAAGAGAGAAGGAAGCCUGCUACAGCAGACACACCAAGUGUCCAACUUACCUCAAGAAUUAAAGGAAGUAAUAUGGGAGAUGAAUUCUCCUCAACUAGGAAGAUUUCCCCUCGAGUCAGAGAGAGGUCUUGGGACCUGGUGACCUUGGUCUCUAUAGGCUGACCUCACUAAUAAGCCUCCUAGGAACAAAGAUACAAGAUUGUUAUUAAGAGUUGGCAAGAUGGCUCAGGAAUAAAGGUGUUAGGACCCAAGUGGGGUCUCUCGCAGUGAAAGGCAGACAAUGAGCACUCUCUGACAUGGCAAACUAUAUAAAGCGCACAGGGUAAUAAACUCUUUUAACAAAAGAAAUUACUUUAGACUGUCAAAUUCGCUGAGUGGAAUGCUAGCAUAGCAUACAGGAAACCAUGGAUUCCUUCCCUUGUACAGUGUAAAGGGCCCGUGGGAGGUUAUGUGUGAAUCCCAACAUUCCCAAAUGUGCAGGCAAAAGUCAGUGAUAGUAGCACACUCCUUAUAUCCCAACACUUGGCAGGCAGAGCCAGGCAGGUCUCUGUGAGUUCCAGGACAGCUAGGGAUACACAGAGAGACCCUGUCCUGAAACAACAAAAACGCUACAGGGAACUGAGUUGGGAGUUCAGUGUCAUAGUAAGAGAUGUGGGGAGUCUAUGGCCAUCCUACAUGGCUACAUGAGAAGGUCAAGUGGCAUUAAAAGCUCCUCCUUUGAAUCCUUGUCAUUUUUAAUGUGUGAGUGAGGAUGAAGUGCAUCAAGCCCUUCCUCUGGUGUGGUCCUGGCCGUACACAUGCUUUAAAGCAGUGUUUCUUCUUCUCUACAUCCUUUAGUUCUCUGUAGUUAUCUAGAAAGGGGGCUAAGGAGAAGGACUUUGGACAAAAGAGAAGCCAAGAGUCUAACUUACCUCAAAAAGUAUGGAAAAUAACUUGGAGACUUGAAGAGGGGAACUCCAACUGGUGGGGAUCUGGCAGAGGACUUGACCCCAAGGGUCACAGGUCCUGAAACCUGCUGAUAUAGGGCCCUACUGGCCUACGACAAAAGAGAAAGGAUUGUCAUUAAGGAUAGUUCUUAGGGACAAGGCAGAUGAUUUAAGUGAUAAAGGAACUGGCUACCAGUCUGGCCAUCUGAGUUCCCUGUAGGAUCUGCAUAGUGGAAAGAGAACAGAAUCCUGGAAGUUGUCCUCAAUCUUCCCAUAUAUACAUGGAGUGUUAACACAUAGUAAAGACUAAAUGGAGUUCAACAUUCUAACAGAAGGAGUGAGCAGAGUUGGCAGAGUGCUGUCCCAGCCUUCAGGAAACCAUGGGUCCUCUCUCUUGCACCAAGAGUACAAAAUAGGUAAGGCUUGUAGUUCUAGCACUUCUCAAUGUGGGAGCAGCUGGGUCAGGGCUUCCAAGUCACCAACGAUGGCCAGCAGCAUGGUGAGUGAGACUAUGAGAUGGUAUUGAAGGCUCUUGUUGAUCUCUCGGAAACUCUGCCCAUUCUUCUUUUGAGCCUUUUUGUGUGUUUAAUGGGGGUGGUGACCUGUGUGCUGUGCCGUAGUAGACUGUGGAGAGGACAGGGCAUCUUCCAGUGUUGGCCCCCUCUCUCUACUCUUUAGAUACAGGGUUUCUCCUCCACUGUAUGCACCAGGAUCGUCGUCCAGUGAGUUUACAGUCUGCCUGCUUUCUUAUGAGAAGAGAGCAUGAGUAAUGAUGACCCCACUGGCCUGCCUGCCAGGCCUUGGCAUUUGUCCUGGAGACUCAAGUCACAUCUUCGAAUGAAGGAGCUGGGGACUGAACCUAGGGCCUUGCAAGCACUCUACCACUGAGCUAAAUACCCAACCCUGAACCUUUGAACCUGUAAGCCAGCCCCAACUAAAUGUUGUCCUUUACAA